AUGCUAGAGUCCUUCCAGAAAUCAGAGCAAAUGGCCUGGAGCAAUCAGUCUGCGGUAACCGAAUUCAUACUACGGGGUCUGUCCAGUUCUUUAGAACUCCAGAUUUUCUACUUCCUGUUUUUCUCCAUAGUCUAUGCAGCCACUGUGCUGGGGAACCUUCUUAUUGUGGUCACCAUUGCAUCAGAGCCACACCUUCAUUCCCCUAUGUACUUUCUGCUGGGCAAUCUCUCCUUCAUUGACAUGUCCCUGGCCUCAUUUGCCACCCCCAAAAUGAUUGCAGACUUCCUUAGAGAACACAAAGCCAUCUCUUUUGAAGGCUGCAUGACCCAGAUGUUCUUCCUACAUCUCUUAGGGGGUGCUGAGAUUGUACUGCUGAUCUCCAUGUCCUUUGAUAGGUACGUGGCUAUCUGUAAGCCUCUACAUUACCUAACAAUCAUGAGCCGAAGAAUGUGUGUUGGGCUUGUGAUACUUUCCUGGAUUGUCGGCAUCUUCCAUGCUCUGAGUCAGUUAGCAUUUACAGUGAAUCUGCCCUUCUGUGGACCCAAUGAAGUAGACAGUUUCUUUUGUGACCUCCCUUUGGUGAUUAAACUUGCUUGUGUUGACACAUAUAUUCUGGGGGUGUUCAUGAUCUCAACCAGUGGCAUGAUUGCCUGGUGUGCUUCAUCCUCUUGGUGAUCUCUUACACUAUCAUCCUGGUCACCGUUCGGCAGCGUUCCUCUGGUGGAUCCUCCAAAGCCCUCUCCACGUGCAGUGCCCACUUUACUGUUGUGACCCUUUUCUUUGGCCCAUGCACUUUCAUUUAUGUGUGGCCUUUCACAAAUUUCCCAAUAGACAAAGUACUCUCAGUAUUUUAUACCAUAUACACUCCCCUCUUGAAUCCAGUGAUCUAUACCGUUAGGAAUAAAGAUGUCAAGUAUUCCAUGAGGAAACUAAGCAGCCAUAUCUUUAAAUCUAGGAAGACUGAUCAUACUCCUUAA